CCUACGGGAGGCAGCAGUGAGGAAUAUUGGUCAAUGGCCGAGAGGCUGAACCAGCCAAGUCGCGUGAGGGAAGACGGCCCUACGGGUUGUAAACCUCUUUUGUCGGGGAGCAAAGAGAGUCACGUGUGACUCAUUGAGAGUACCCGAAGAAAAAGCAUCGGCUAACUCCGUGCCAGCAGCCGCGGUAAUACGGAGGAUGCGAGCGUUAUCCGGAUUUAUUGGGUUUAAAGGGUGCGCAGGCGGAUGUGCAAGUCAGCGGUCAAAUUGCGGGGCUCAACCCCGUCCGGCCGUUGAAACUGCGUCUC
rnacentral:rRNA from 1 species